rnacentral:ncRNA from 1 species
UAGAAAUAAAUUUGAUCAACUUUUGAGUAAAGGCUAUUAAGUGAAAAUAGAUGUAAAAAAUUAAAUAGGGGUUUCGUUUAAAAAAUUCAAUUUUUUAUUUUCAGUGUAAAAUAUUAAUAAAAUUAUUGGGGGGUAAUUUUAGUUAAUUUAAAACAUUGGGAGAUUAAAAAUGUGCCAGCAUUCGCGGUUAAACAUUAUCCUUAAAUUUUUAAUAUAAAAAGGGGAGUAUAUAGCAGUUAAUAUAAAUUAAUUAUUUUUAUGGGGGUGAAAUAAAUUAAAAUUAAUAUUAUGCUUGUUAUUCUUUAAAAUUUUGAUUAUAAACUAGGAUUAGAUACCCUAUUAUUCAAAAUUAAUAUUUUCUUUUUGGUAUUUUAGUGACAUAAUAAAUUAAAUUGAUUUGGCGGUUUAUUAAACUUUUUAGAGGAACCUGUAGAUUAAAUUGAUAGUCCACGAUUAGUUAAACCUAAAUUAUUUUGUAUAUCUCUAUAAAGGAAUAUAUUUUAAGAUAAAUUUUCUUUAUUUUUAUUAAAAAUUAAUUUAGGUCAAGGUGCAGUUAUAUUUAGGGUUUAAUGGGUUACAGUUAUUUUAGUUAUUGAAAAUUUUUUAUAAAAAUAAUGUUGAAAAUGGAUUUAAUAGUAAUUUUUUUUUUUAAAAAAAACGAAUAAUGCUCUGAUUAAUGUACAUAUCGCCCGUCAUUCUCAUAGGUGAGACAAGUCGUAACAAAGUAGGUGUAUUGGAAAAUGUACCUAG